CGCUAACCCGAUAACAUUAAAUGUAAAUACCAAAAUGAUUAAUUUACUGUGUUUUUGUUAUUUCUCAUUCCUGUUGUUAGGUAUUUGGUAUUCGGCCAAAUAGUGAUUUAAAUAUUUGGUACAGUAUUAGGCUGAAUACCGAAAAAUAGGUCGAAUACUGAAUAGUAACCGAAUAUUUGUUACAUCUAGUUACUACCUGACCUCCAAAAAAAACAGUCUUUUUUGUUUUUGUACAAAAAUAUAUUACCUUGAUAUUCACCCAGCUGAUUUUUCAGAAAAAAAAGAAUGUUUCAGUCUGCUAAGACCUGCUUCAGAUGAAAAAAUUUUUGAACAGAUAGAUCUUCUAAUGUUUCACUGUUCUAAUAUGUUGAAUGCAGAAGAGCUUACAUGUAAAUUCAAAAUUAAAAUUUUUAGAAUUGAUCAAUAGGAUUCGUCCAAGCGUUAAAGUUUUUAAACUGUUUUUCAUGAUGACAUGUAUUGUGAAAGGAUUAGUGAUGAUUACAUAGAUGAACUGCAAGAGUGGGUCUGCAGAUUUACAUGUACACUGUUAACCAAACAACUCAAAUUAGAUAAAGAAGUAAUAGUCAGCAGAUAUUAGAGAGGUUAUUGUGCAAGUACAAACGUUACUUGUACACAGCAAGCAGAAGUACUCAGUUUACAUUUUAACUCCAAGAAAAAAUCAUUGCGGCGCAGGUUGACAACAUCACAUGACUCAGUGAACAUCGCGCAUUGACUCAUGGGAAAUUUGUUGAAAAAAUGGCAGAUACAUUUAACAUUGAGGGUUACCAGCAAAGGUAAAUAAACAAAUUAAACUAUCUUAAAGUAUUUAUAGGAAUAACACUAAACAAGUAAAACAGCAACUGUAUUUGGGACAAGACUGUCUUGGAGACUUACUACUAAGUGGAAUCAUUUUGACGCUCAAGAUGGAUCUUGUUCUCAUUCUCCAAUCUUCUUUGGUAUUGCUGCUUUUGGGUGCAAUCGUUCAAACUUUGCCGGCCAUAACCACGAGGUGCAUUUUCAAUGAAAUUAACCUAUCCAAUUUCGAAAUUUCUCUCCAUUGUGUGUCAGCCCAGGUUGAAUUUUUGUCGAUGUGUAAUGAAAAUUUUUUGUUUUUGAAAAAAGUAAUCAAGGCUAUUGUAUCAUCUGAAAUUAUUUUUUCAUUUUGCACAAACGAUAUACAGUUUAACCUGAUUAUAACAUCAUCGGAUCUAAUGACAAACCUAAUAUAACGUCAAAUUUUUAUCAGUUCCGUGAUUUUACUAUUUGCGUUUUUCACCAAAUGCUCGCCCUCUGGUGUUUAAAAACAAAACUACUCUAUCUGGGUCGUUUGAAUGUUCUUUGUAUAUUGUCAACAGUAAAGAUGAAUAGUAAAAGUAAAGUUUUCUGUUGUGUUCCAAAUUGUAAUUCCAAAGCCAUACAUGAUCCCGAUAUAAGUUUUCAUGUAUUCCCACAUGAAAAACAGAUGAUUUUUCAUAAAUCAGAAUUUGGAGAAUCUCAGAAAUGUAACUGACGGAAAGAGUGGAUUCGACUGCUAAGAAUUGGCAAAAAAGUUACGAAAUAUAUGGUAGUAUGUUCGAAACAUUUUACUCCUGAAGAUUAUAUUUUGUCAUCAUAUGCAUGUAAAAGAAGACAAAGAAAACUGUCGUACCAAGUUUACUUUUACCGGAGAGCAGUAUUUGUACAAAAACAUGUUCUAAAAGAAUUAAAAGAAAUAAGUUUUCAGAAAAAACGUAUUAGACAGAAGAAACUUCCCAUACAAUUGAGUCAGAAAUUAAUGAUAGAGAAGCUGCUGAAACACUUUUAAUGUUAUGCAAUUCUAAUUAUGAUAAAAAUUUAAAAUGUCACAGAUCAGUUGGCAUACAAAUAUCCACUGCAGAAUUUUUGGUAAAUAUACGUAAUUUCAUUAAGACAGAAUCCCAACUAAAUUCCAUUACUGGUAUACCAACUUUUGAACUAUUUAAUGCUAUUGUUAAACUUUUUAGUGAUGUAUGUAAAAC